GACGAACGCUGGCGGCGUGCUUGACACAUGCAAGUCGAACGGAAAGGCCUGCUUUCCCUUGUGGAUUGCGGGUACUCGCGUGGCGAACGGGUGAGUAACACGUGAGUGAUCUGCCCCCAACUUGGGUAUAAGCCUGGGAAACUGGGUCUAAUUCCCGAUAGGACUGCAGGGUGGUGCCUGUGGUGGAAAACGAUUUUCUAGUGGUUGGGGAUGAGCUCGCGGCCUAUCAGCUUGUUGGUGGGGUAAUGGCCUACCAAGGCGGCGACGGGUAGCCGGCCUGAGAGGGUGGACGGCCACAUUGGGACUGAGGUACGGCCCAGACUCCUACGGGAGGCAGCAGUGGGGAAUAGUGGACGAUGGGCGGAAGCCUGAUGCAGCGACGCCGCGUGGGGGAUGACGGCCUUCGGGUUGUAAACUCCUUUCGACCGCGAGGAAGCCACCUGGUUGGAAGGGUGGUGACGGUAGUGGUAGAAGAAGCACCGGCUAACUACGUG
rnacentral:rRNA from 1 species